UGAGUAAACUGGGUGAUCGCAGGUACCAGGCCGAAAGGCGGUAUCUGAGGAAAGUCCGAGCUCCUCAGGGCAGGGUGCUGGGUAAUUCCCAGUGGGGGCAACCCCAAGGAAAGUGCCACAGAGAUAUACCGCCAGACACUUAACUUAAUAUUUACUUUUUGCUAAUCCAGCGGAGGCUGGGGCAGGGAUUGCAGAUUAAUCCAUUUAAGUAAGUACUGAGUUAAGUGCCUGGUAAGGGUGAAAAGGUGAGGUAAGAGCUCACCAGCA
rnacentral:RNase_P_RNA from 1 species